rnacentral:rRNA from 1 species
UACGAAGGUGGCAAGCGUUGUUCGGAUUUACUGGGCGUAAAGGGAGCGUAGGUGGUUAGGUAAGCCCUCCGGGAAAUCUUCAGGCUUAACCUGAAAAGGUCGGGGGGGGACUGCCUAGCUAGAGGGCGGGAGAGGAGCGCGGAAUUCCCGGUGUAGCGGUGAAAUGCGUAGAUAUCUGGAGGAAUACCGGUGGCGAAGGCGGCAUCCUGGACCGACAUUGACGCUGAGGAGCGAAAGCUAGGGGAGCAAACGGGG